rnacentral:tRNA from 1 species
GGCCCGUUAGCUCAGUUGGUUAGAGCGUCGUGCUAAUAACGCGAAGGUCGUGGUUCGAUCCCCCCACGGGCCA